rnacentral:rRNA from 1 species
GAUGAACGCUGGCGGCGUGCCUAAUACAUGCAAGUCGAGCGAACAGACGAGGAGCUUGCUCCUCUGACGUUAGCGGCGGACGGGAGAGUAACACGUGGAUAACCUACCUCUAAGACUGGGAUAACUUCGGGAAACCGGAGCUAAUACCGGAUAAUAUAUUGAACCGCAUUGUUCAAUAGUGAAAGACGGUUUUGCUGUCACUUAUAGAUGGAUCCGCGCCGCAUUAGCUAGUUGGUAAGGUAACGGCUUACCAAGGCAACGAUGGUUAGCCGACCCGAGAGGGUGGUCGCCCACACUGGAACAGAGACUCGGCCCACACUCCUACGGUAGGAAGCAGUAGGGAAUCUUCCGCAAGGGGCGAAAGCCUGACGGUGCAACGCCGCGGGAGUGAUGAUGGUCUUCGGAUCGUAAAACUCUGUUAUUAGUGAAGAACAAAUGUGUAAGUAACUAUGCACGUCUUGACGGUACCUAAUCAGAAAGCCCCGGCUAACUACGUG